rnacentral:rRNA from 1 species
GACGAACGCUGGCGGCGUGCUUAACACAUGCAAGUCGAACGGUAAGGUCCUUCGGGGUACACGAGUGGCGAACGGGUGAGUAACACGUGGGUGAUCUGCCCUGCACUUCGGGAUAAGCCUGGGAAACUGGGUCUAAUACCGGAUAGGACCACUGCCUGCAUGGGUGGUGGUGGAAAGCUUUUGCGGUGUGGGAUGGGCCCGCGGCCUAUCAGCUUGUUGGUGGGGUGAUGGCCUACCAAGGCGACGACGGGUAGCCGGCCUGAGAGGGUGACCGGCAACACUGGGACUGAGAUACAGCCCAGACUCCUACGGGAGGCAGCAGUAGGGAAUAUUGCACAAUGGGCGCAAGCCUGAUGCAGCGACGCCGCGUGAGGGAUGACGGCCUUCGGGUUGUAAACCUCUUUCAGCACCGACGAAGCGCAAGUGACGGUAGGUGCAGAAGAAGGACCGGCCAACUACGUGCCAGCCGCCGCCGUAA